rnacentral:rRNA from 1 species
AUGAACGCUGGCGGCGUGCCUCAUACAUGCAAGUCGAGCGAACAGACGAGGAGCUUGCUCCUCUGACGUUCGCGGCGGACGGGUGAGUAACACGUGGAUAACCUACCUAUAAGACUGGGAUAACUUCGGGAAACCGGAGCUAAUACCGGAUAAUAUAUUGAACCGCAUGGUUCAAUAGUGAAAGACGGUUUUGCUGUCACUUAUAGAUGGAUCCGCGCCGCAUUAGCUAGUUGGUAAGGUAACGGCUUACCAAGGCAACGAUGCGUAGCCGACCUGAGAGGGUGAUCGGCCACACUGGAACUGAGACACGGUCCAGACUCCUACGGGAGGCAGCAGUAGGGAAUCUUCCGCAAUGGGCGAAAGCCUGACGGAGCAACGCCGCGUGAGUGAUGAAGGUCUUCGGAUCGUAAAACUCUGUUAUUAGGGAAGAACAAAUGUGUAAGUAACUAUGCACGUCUUGACGGUACCUAAUCAGAAAGCCACGGCUAACUACGUG